UACGUAGGGUGCAAGCGUUAAUCGGAAUUACUGGGCGUAAAGCGUGCGCAGGCGGUUUUGUAAGUCUGUCGUGAAAGCCCCGGGCUCAACCUGGGAAUUGCGAUGGAGACUGCAAGGCUAGAGUUUGGCAGAGGGGGGUAGAAUUCCACGUGUAGCAGUGAAAUGCGUAGAUAUGUGGAGGAACACCGAUGGCGAAGGCAGCCCCCCUGGGUCAAAACUGACGCUCAUGCACGAAAGCGUGGGGAGCAAACAGG
rnacentral:rRNA from 1 species